AAACUGGAAAUGACAUAUAUUACAGAGGUGAAAAGCACUAUUAACCCUAAAAAAUAUCACAUUCACACUAAAAAUGUGAUCAAUUGCAAGGCAUCGCUUUGUCCAAGUGAAUAGCUUUGGAUAAACCUAAUUAUAAUGGAUAAAAUAUUUACUUUUAAUUUUUUUAACAAAUUAAUGAAUAAAAAAAUUUGAUACCUUGUAUAAGUAUGUAGCACUCAUUUUAUUAUUUUUAUUGAAUAAUAAUAAUAGAUGAAUGAUAAGGUGUUAACCCUGGCUCUCAAAGAAGAGCCGUUGAGUUUUGAAUAUGAUUAUAGGAUUGAUUCGUUAGUUGAUUGAAUUGGAUCAUAGACUACUCUCUUAUCACUAAAGAAUAUAAUUUCAUUUAAAAAAUUCUAAAGACUAUUCAUCUAUACAUUAUACACCUCCACACACUUUGAUGCCGUUAGAACUCGGGAUAAGUAUAGUUUUACUUAAAAAAAUAGUUUGUAAGAUGAUGAGUGUUUCGUUUAUAAAUACAUGGUCAAACCAUUUCUUAUCUAAAGUGAAACUUUUAACGCACCUCUCACGUUUAGGAAUGGGCAUAUGCUGCAUGACAUGGGUGGUUUGAUAACGGUGACUUUACCGUAACCGAUGCAACAUGUCUUAAAUAAGUUUUAACGGCAUAUUACCAUUUAAGACGAGUCUAAGUCAACAUCACAAAACCGUCUUAUAAGAUGAGAGAUACUACCACAUAUAAAUACAUUAUCAAAUUAUAUCUCAUCAAAUUUAAAAGUUUUAACCAUUGCUUCACUUUACAGGCUUAUAACUUUUGGACGAUUGGAAAUAAUAAACUGAAUGCAUCCCCUCCCCCACUUCAAACAACAAAACAAUGAUCAUGCCAUGUAAAUUUCAAUAUAAAAUGUUAUAGACAAAUUACAUCUUACGUUGAAAUUUUUACUGUUAGAUUAUUUUCAUAUUUUUAUCAUAUAGUAUUUUGAUACCAAUUAAUCGAUGGUUUUUUUUUUUGGUGAAGGAAGUUAUUUAAUUAAAAAUUAUUAUUUUUUGUUCAAAGAUAAGAUGUCAAACUCUGGCGUGUUAGAGGGACAUUACGUAAUAUGCUGAACAUGGACCACUUGACAUCUAGUCAAUUUCGUGGUCGAUUUGCACGUAUUUGUGUGAAAAGGGAUCUUGAUAAGAAAAUCAUUUUAAAGUUCAUUGUGAAUGUUUUAGGUUUUGUUUUUACUAUUGAACAUGAAGGAUUACAUACAUAUUGCGUGUUUUAGUUGUGGCAUUGUGGAAAAUAUGGCCACAAUGCGGAAACUUGCCAAGACCACUACGUGAAGAAGAUUGUGUUCACCAUAAGAAAUGCUAGUUUAUCUACGGUUUAUGUUUCGAAAGUGUAACAACCAAUAAACCUAAAUUCUACAAAGAAGAACCCUUUGGCUCAUGAGGGAACUUCACAUGCAAAGGAGGAAGAUAUUCCAUCAUAUUUUAGUCCCUCGAUGUUGGUCAAAAUACAUAAUAUGCAUAAGCAAUUGAGUAGUGCAGCUCAACCGAAAUUUUCGGAGAAAAUAAAAAUAAAAAGGCUUAUUGAUGUGUUUAGCCCUUGCAAUUAGGCGGCAUUUAAAAAUUCGUUCCUGUAAUUGUUAAUCCUGGCAUUUUAACCCUGCAAUUGUUAAUCGUUUAAAAUUUGGUCCUUGGACCAAAUUAAUCACUGCCACGUCACUAAUUUGAUGACGUGGCAAUCACUGUCACACAUGAAAUUACAAUUUUGCCCUUAAGAAGAGGACAAAAUAUUGAAGAAAGAAUUGGAAACCCAGGGGUAAAUUUGGAAUUUCAUGUGGCGUGGCAGUGAUUAAGUGGGGAGAGGGACGAAAUUUUAAAUGAUUAACAAUUGCAGGGUUAAAAUGUCAGGAUUAGCAAUUACAGGGACGAAUUUUUAAAUGCCGCCUAAUUGCAAGGGUUAAACACAUCAAUAAGCCAAAUAAAAAUCAUGAAUAUACUAAAGGUAAAAAGCAUGAGGUAGAAACAAAUGAAUAUAUUGAUAUUGGUGUAGUCGUUAUAUAGAUAAAGAUAAUAGGAGUUGUGAUUCGUGUGUUGCAUAAAAAAAUCAUCAGAUGAGGGGCCCACAUCAAAGCUUGAUGGGUUUAAAGUGAAUGAAACAUCACAUUAAUAUAUAAUUUUUAAUUUUAUUUUAUAGUGCAUAUUAGUUUAAUUUGAUCUAUAUUUUUAUUAUUUCACAUGUUUCAAACAUAAUCAAUCAUUAUUAUUUUAUAAUGUUAAUUUUUAGUAUAUUAAAUGUUAUGGUUUGUGUCAAACUUAAGUACAAUUGUAUUAAUAUGAAUUUUUUACAAUUGUAAUUUUGAUCAUUCGAAAAUCGAUCCAAAGUAAACCAUAUUUAUUUUGAUCGAUUUUGAUAUUUUUAAAAAGGGGUAAUUCUAAUUUCUAAC
rnacentral:lncRNA from 1 species